rnacentral:rRNA from 1 species
GACGAACGCUGGCGGCGUGCCUAAUACAUGCAAGUUGAGCGCUGAAGGUUGGUACUUGUACCCACUGGAUGAGCAGCGAACGGGUGAGUAACGCGUGGGGAAUCUGCCUUUGAGCGGGGGACAACAUUUGGAAACGAAUGCUAAUACCGCAUAAAAACUUUAAACACAAGUUUUAAGUUUGAAAGAUGCAAUUGCAUCACUCAAAGAUGAUCCCGCGUUGUAUUAGCUAGUUGGUGAGGUAAAGGCUCACCAAGGCGAUGAUACAUAGCCGACCUGAGAGGGUGAUCGGCCACAUUGGGACUGGGACACGGCCCAAACUCCUACGGGAGGCAGCAGUAGGGAAUCUUCGGCAAUAGACGAAAGUCUGACCGAGCAACGCCGCGUGAGUGAAGAAGGUUGUCGGAUCGUAAAACUCUGUUGGUAGAGAAGAACGUUGGUGAGAGUGGAAAGCUCAUCAAGUGACGGUAACUACCCAGAAAGGGACGGCUAACUACGUG